AUUGAACGCUGGCGGCAGGCCUAACACAUGCAAGUCGAACGAGUGGCGGACGGGUGAGUAAUGUCUGGGAAACUGCCUGAUGGAGGGGGAUAACUACUGGAAACGGUAGCUAAUACCGCAUACCAUCGGAUGUGCCCAGAUGGGAUUAGCUAGUAGGUGGGGUAACGGCUCACCUAGGCGACGAUCCCUAGCUGGUCUGAGAGGACGACCAGCCACACUGGAACUGAGACACGGUCCAGACUCCUACGGGAGGCAGCAGUGGGGAAUAUUGGACAAUGGGCGAAACCCUGAUCCAGCCAUGCCGCGUGUAUGAUGAAGGCCUUCGGGUUGUAAAGUACUUUUGGCGGAGAAGCGGUACCUGCAGAAUAAGCACCGGCUAACUCCGUGCCAGCCGCCGCGGUAAUAC
rnacentral:rRNA from 1 species